CCUCUUCGGCCCAACUCCUAUGUAUAAAUAUAUCCUUCAUUUUUUUUUCCACAAACAAAAACACACACCUCUCAUCCUUCAUGUUGGUGCUAGCUCAGCUGCAGCACCUCCGCCGGCGCCACCCUUCCCAGUAAGUCUACUCUCAAAAUAUAUUGUAUAUGCAUUCUUCUUUUCAAUCACUCAUCUCUCUUAUUGUUGUUUGCUUAUUUCUUUUAGUCAUAGUGGUAACAUGAUGUGAUUCUUUCUUGUUGCACUAUUGGGUUCUUUUUUGCAUGUUUAGGUAAAACAGAGUGCUGAUGUAAAUUAUUGCAAGAAAUAUUAUAAUCUACACGUUUCAUUAUACGUUCUACUUCUACAUAUACACAAAAACACACACUGUUACGUAUGAUUUUUCUAAAAGAAAUACCAAAAUUUAAGCUUUCUACCACUGAUUAUCUGCACUUGUUUUCCCAUGGUAUUUGACAUAUAUGUAUGUCAAUUCUUAUUACAUGGUAUCAGUUUAUAUGUUUUGGGUGAUGCGAGAUUUCAAACUCAAAAUGGCACUUCGUCAGCUGCAUUUAUAUAUUGGAAUUCCAAAUUCAUAAUGACUGAGUAUAAUCACAUUUCAUUGCUCAAUAUAUGAUGUAUCACAAUUUACACUGUAUCUGUAUAGUCCAAAAGGGAAGGAAAAAGGUAUCUUUAUUUGAAUAAACAGAAAAUUGUGCAGAUAUUGCACUUGAUCUUCAUUCUGGAUACAGCUAGAAGUUCCUUGCCAUGCCAUACACAACCCUUGUCUUCGCACCCGCCUUAGACUGCGUUUUACAUGAAGCGCCAUAGCAUAAAAAUUGCAAUAAUCUUGUUGUUCCCUAUAACUCAUCCAUGCCUAGAUUCACACUCUGUAAAUGAAGAAAAAUCGAAUCCUGCAUGUAAAGAAGAAGUAAAUGCUUAAAAUUUGCACCUAGUGAGUGAAGUAAGUAUAUUGGUGGAUUAUGAACAUAGCAGCUGCUGCAGGAAGAGUAGAAUUACCAGUAGGGAAAAGCCUCCUCCAAUGUUAGUUUGUAAGAACUGCUUCUACUUUGACGGGCUUAAGCCUCAUCACGCCUCUGCGCAAAUGCUGAAAGGCUAGUACAAAGAGGCCAAAAAAGUAUAACAUGAAAAUAUGUAGCUUCUCUACGCUUUCAAGAAUGAAAGAUGAACUGAUUGCUCUCCAUGCCGAUAUCUGAGAAGCCUUGCACCCUGAAGAGAAGAGCAGGGUUAGUCAUACUUUGAUAACCAUGGCAGGCUGAUUGAUUUCAGGAAGCAUAGUGUAACCAAAUGCAUCGAGUCAAUAAGCAAAAAUGACUUUGUUCGUUGUCUUUUUAUUUGGAUUGAUUGCCAUGACAUUUCAACAGAGACAAUAGACCAUAGGCGAAUAUCGAACUUUUGCUCUUAAAUGAAAUGACCAGAUACCCACAUCAUUUCUAGGCCUUGGUCAUGGGAAUUACAUUCGAGCCUCAUCAUAUAUACACCCCACAGCCUCACUGUGAGCUUGCCUAAGCUAUACACUGUUUUCUCUCACUAAAUCCUAGGUUAACAAACCGUAAUAUGGUUAUAUGGUUUGCGUAGUCUCUAGAAGAUUUAGACCAGUAAUACAGAAUGAUGAAGAAUUUGCAUAAGGAUAGCACCCACCACUGCUUUUAGUAGACAGAUUUGUCCAUUGGUAUGAACUUGUCGUACUUUGUGAUGCCUUGAUCAACUCUAGAAGAGCUUUAUUCACCUGCAUGUUUGAGCGAGGAAAUACCAUAUAAGCGUCAAGUUUGAGAAUUCUGGUCAAUGUCAUACUCAAUUGCAAACGAAUUCUGAUUAUAUUGCAGAUGAUUUUCAUGUAUGUUUCUCUGUUUUCACUGUUUACAACACUGAAAUUUCAUUUCAAGGUUCCUUUCACUGUUUACAACACUGAAAUGACCUUCACUACUGUUCAAGCCAUUAAUUAGCCUGUUUCAGAAUCACACUUCUCUGGAUAUGUUUACUGAACGUUAAUUACAGGAAUACUAACAAAAUUCAAUACACGGACAUCAGCCCUUGUCCGGUAACGUUGCAGGAUAUGUUUAAGCAUCCAUUGCAACUAGUUUCAGAACUCAAUUUUAAAAAAAAUGGUGGGAUCUUGAAGCAUUAAGUAAUCUCCUCUAUUUGUUUCAUUUAUUCUGUAAAAUAUGUUAAACCAAUUUGUUCUUCCAAGAAAAAUACCAAAUAUUUUUCCAUUGUAACAUUCUUCACCAUUUUCUAAUGUAUUCUCAAGACAAUUCAAAAAGAAAGUGUGCUUGAAUGAGAAAAUGGAUGAAUUGUGUAUCAUUGUAACACAUUUCCCUCUAACCUUUCUAGGAACUUAAUUUCUGAAUAGUGCAUAUUAUCAGAGCCUUAUUGACCAACGAGGGUUAUGUUAGAUAAAAUUACCCGAUAAUUUGUAACAUGAGAACAUCUAAUCUUGCUUCCAUAAGUUAGCCGUUCCAACUAUUAUUUCAUUAUUUGUCAAACUAACGUAUAGAAUAAUACCUCCUCAGUUCUCUCAUGGCUUACUAGAUGUCCACCAUUAAGUUCAACCAUUCUUGCAGAUGGAUAUAAUCUCUCUGCAAGUCGUUUUGCAUGGCACAGCUGAGCAAUAACGUCAUGUCUACACAGGAAGAGAACCAAUAAAGGAAAAAAAAAUACAAGUCGUCUUUGAAGGCACAGUGCAUAUACGAGCAAUUAGAAAAACCUAGUAAGUCUUUGAUAGGCUACCUGCCAUGAAUUACUGAUAUGGGAAAUCCAGCCAUACGGAUAGAUUCUAUCUCUUUUCUUGACAAUUUAUGGGUCCAACACGCGUUAAUCUGACCGUCAAAUCCAUACUUCGACUGCAUACCUGUUGAUGAUAUGCCUUUUACGUAUUCCUGCAGAGCAGAGUUAUAGCAUCAUGUUAUACUUUCAAAUCAUAUAGACACUACUUGAUUUUAAAAAUAUAGCCUGCCUCAGAAAAAUUAUUCGACACUGAGGGUCUAUGAAUGUAGAAUAAAAUACUACAAAUCAUAGUAGUGUUUUAAUGAGAAUCAUAUACAGUGAUAACAAUUAAAAUUGAAGGAACCAAUCUUUACUACAUUAUCCGAAUAGCUAUGAGUCUAUUCAAGGAAAAACAUACAGUAUCAGGUUUCUCAUCUCAAGUUCACAAUUCUUAAAAUUCCUUACUUGGUAUAAAAUUGCUCUUCUAGUCUUUAGUCCAAUGUACUCUUCAAGAUAUUCCUGCAUAAAAGAGAAUGAAUUUUCAAUCAAUUCUCAGCAAUCUCAAUGAGCUGAUGCGUUCUGAAUUCGAAGCAAAACAGGCAGAUGCAGAAAGCAGAAAUUAAAGGACUGUCACGCUUACUAUCAUGACCUAAAAUAAUUAUUUUACCUGUGAGUAGUGGGUAUCUAAAUCAACGGCUGCUCUCUGUUCAGGUGUUUUUGCCCUCAGAAAACGCAGAGCAAUUGACAGAGUUUUACGGUCAAACUGAAAAGAAUAAGAGAUGUAACUAGGUUCAGGGUGGCAAGGCACAUAACAGAAACUCCCAUAUAGGUUAAAAUUCGGAAAGACAUAGUAUUAAACAAGGAUUUUGCUAUGAUUUCCAAUUUAGCCAAAAACUCUCAAAGCAAACUGAGUUGGCUAUGCUAACUUUUUUGACCUAAUUUUGCGUCAGGUGAAAUGGCUUAUUAAGCUAAGAUAAUGUAAUCAACAACCCGAUCAGCUCCAUUUGUUGAGUUGCUGACAAAUUUUCACAUUUGAAGGUGCUUUCACAGUCAAGAAAAGAGAGGCAGAAGAAAGACAAACGAGAGAAAGCUAUUAUACUUCAAACAGAGAGUGUUUGAACUUCAAGACCUGUACACUAAUGUCGCCUUUCAGUUUUCAAACAUUUCUAUAAGGACCAUAUAUUAUC
rnacentral:lncRNA from 1 species